rnacentral:rRNA from 1 species
CCUACGGGUGGCUGCAGUGGGGAAUAUUGCACAAUGGGGGAAACCCUGAUGCAGCGACGCCGCGUGAGUGAAGAAGUAUUUCGGUAUGUAAAGCUCUAUCAGCAGGGGAGAAAGUGACGGUACCUGAUUAAGAAGCCCCGGCUAACUACGUGCCAGCAGCCGCGGUAAUACGUAGGGGGGAAGCGUUAUCCGGAUUUACUGGGUGUAAAGGGGGCGUAGACGGGAGCACAAGUCCGGAGGGAAAUGCCGGGGCCUAACCCCGGAACUUCUGUGGAAACUGUGCAGCUAGAGUGCAGGAGAGGUAAGUGGAAUGCCUGGUGUAGCGGUGAAAUGCGUAGAUAUUAGGAGGAACACCAGUGGCGAAGGCGGCCUACUGGACUGUAACUGACGUUGAGGCACGAAAGCGCGGGGAGCAAACAGGAUUAGAUACCCUGGUAGUC